UACAGAGGAGCCAAGCGUUGUCCGGAUUGACUGGGCGUAAAGCGCACGCAGGCGGACGCGCGCGUGGGGUGUGAAAUCUGGCCGCUUAACGGCCAGGCGCCAUCCCAUACGGCGCGUCUGGAGUGAUGCAGAGGUCGAUGGAAUUGCCGGUGUAGUGGUGAAAUGCGUAGAGAUUGGCAGGAACACCCAGGGGGAAACCAGUCGACUGGGCAUCUACUGACGCUGAGGUGCGAGAGCGUGGGGAGCGAACCGG
rnacentral:rRNA from 1 species